GGGAUUGCCUCAGUAACGGCGAGUGAAGCGGCAACAGCUCAAAUUUGAAAUCUGGCUCCUUCGGGGUCCGAGUUGUAAUUUGUAGAGAGUGUUUCGGGUGAGAUCACGGUCUAAGUCUGUUGGAACACUACGUCAUAGAGGGUGAGAACCCCGUAUGCGACCGUGACUCGAGCCCAUGUGAAGCCUCUUCGACGAGUCGAGUUGUUUGGGAAUGCAGCUCAAAAUGGGUGGUAAAUUUCAUCUAAAGCUAAAUACUGGCUGGAGACCGAUAGCGCACAAGUAGAGUGAUCGAAAGAUGAAAAGCACUUUGGAAAGAGAGUCAAACAGUACGUGAAAUUGUUGAAAGGGAAGCGCUGGCAACCAGACCUGUCCGUGGGCGAUCAGCCGCUGUUCUCAGCGGUGCACUCGUUCCACGAUCAGGCCAGCAUCGGUUUCGGCGGUUGGAUAAAGACCUUGGGAACGUAGCUCCCUCUCGGGGGAGUGUUAUAGCCCAGGGUGCAAUGCAGCCAGUCGGGACCGAGGACCGCGCUUCGGCUAGGAUGCUGGCGUAAUGGUUGUCAGCGACCCGUCUUGAAACACGGACCAAGGAGUCUAACAUCUAUGCGAGUGUUUGGGUGUCAAACCCAUGCGCGGAAUGAAAGUGAACGGAGGUGAGAACCCUUUAGGGCGCAUCAUCGACCGAUCCAGAUGUCUUCGGAUGGAUUUGAGUAUGAGCAUAGCUGUUGGGACCCGAAAGAUGGUGAACUAUGCCUGAAUAGGGUGAAGCCAGAGGAAACUCUGGUGGAGGCUCGCAGCGGUUCUGACGUGCAAAUCGAUCGUCAAAUUUGGGUAUAGGGGCGAAAGACUAAUC
rnacentral:rRNA from 1 species